rnacentral:rRNA from 1 species
UACGUAGGGGGCAAGCGUUGUCCGGAUUUAUUGGGCGUAAAGCGCGUGUAGGCGGCCAUACAGGUCCGUUGUGAAAACUCGAGGCUUAACCUCGAGACGUCGAUGGAAACCGUAUGGCUAGAGUCCGGAAGAGGAGAGUGGAAUUCCUGGUGUAGCGGUGAAAUGUGCAGAUAUCAGGAAGAACACCCGUGGCGAAGGCGGCUCUCUGGGACGGUACUGACGCUGAGACGCGAAAGCGUGGGGAGCGAACAGG